rnacentral:lncRNA from 1 species
GACAGUUUUAUUUACAGCAUUAACAUGUCUUUUCCAUUGUUUUAUUGAACAUUUUCACAUGCUUCUGUCUCUGUUUCUGCUUCUCCUUUGCUCCAUACUGGCUUGACAUUUUCAUUUUUAGUGACUUGAUUUAAGAAAAAAUUUAAGAAAAUAUUAAUUAAUGAGUAUACCUAUAAAUAAUACUGAAAGUGGUCCAAGCCUGAGGGGUAUGUGUAUGGCAGAUUUGGGAACUAGGGUUAUAGUUUAUCUUUGGCUAUGUUUGCUUUCCUAGCAUUCUGGGCUGCCUGACAGAUUUCUGAGCUGAAUUACUAAGACUUUUUUGUGAACUAAGUCAGAUUUCCAUAGUGAUCCUUAGUUUCCUGAGUGUUGGCAGGUGAUAGGUUUCAUUUCCUUGACAAAAAUGAAGAAGGCACAGGCAGCUUCAUCCCAGGACGCUGGUCUCCUGUGCUGGUCUCCCAGCAAUAAUGUCCUCAGUGUGCUUAAGUCCUAGCUCUCGGAACUAUUAAUUUUUCCUUUACUUGGCCACACCAUCAUGAUUUUAUACUUUGUGAUGGCUGCGCAUUGUCUUACCAGGAAGAAUUACAAGCUGGAUGAGAGAGUGGAAUACAGUGGUCACAUAGAUUCCACUGGGAGAGUAUGCUUACAAGCCUAGGAUCAAUGGCCUUGGUGUGCAGGGAAACCUGAGAAGUGUGGUCUGAGGCUCUGCUCUUUCUCCAGUAGGAUAGCUCAGAAGUCAACGAGGCUGAAAAGUUUUCAGUAUUUCUGUAAGUUUAAUUUUCCUGGAUUCAUAAAUAUGAUAUAUAUCAAGUGAAGUUAAAGCAAAAAGCAAAUGAAUUGAUUUUGUGCUACUACACUGGGUGAACCUGCAGUUAUAAUGAGUACAGAAUUCAUGAAAAUUAUUAUAUAGUAGCUUUUAAACCCAAACAGCAUACUGCCUAACAGUGAGCCUCUGAUCAGCCCUGAUGGUAGACUAAGUUUUAUUCUAUUACUUUUCAAUCCAAAAUAAUUUCUAGAAAGCAAGUAGUUGUCUCUUUUCAGAGAUGAAUUGAAUACUUGUGGUAUUUCUGAUAAAUAUAGAAUAUCCUAUACUUAAAAAUACUUACCUGCAUAAUAACAGUUGAAGAUUUUAUCUUGUAGCACUUUAAAUAAAUAUUAUGUAUAUCUAUAAUGUACUAUAGAUAUAUACUCUGAUUUUUUUGUUUUUUGUUUUUUGAGACAGGGUUUCUCUUUAUAGUCCUGGCUGUCCAGGAACUCACUUUGUAGACCAGGCUGGGCUGGCCUCAAACUCAGAAAUCCCACUUCCUCUGCCUCCCGAGUGCUGGGACUAAAGGCAUGUGCCACCACUCCUGGCUUACUCUGAUUUUUAAAAGCAGGUUCUGACUAGUUUCUUUUGGUUUUGCUUUAGUUUGAUGUCCACUUUUCAAAGAUGCUUCCUAAAAAACAAGAAGGGCCAGAGAAUUGGUAAAGUUGGUUGAAUGUUUGCAUUUCAUGCAAAAAGUCUUGGCUUCAGUUUUCAGCAUUAUAUAAACUGUUCAUAGUGGCACAUUCCCAUAAUUCCUGCACUUGGGAAGUUGUGGCAGAAAGAUCAGAAGUUUGAGGUCAUCCUCAAUUGUAUAGCAAGUUUCAGUUUUAGCCCAGGCUGAGCUAUCUAAAACCCUUUCUCAAACAAGCAAAAAACACUACCUCUUUUCUCAUACUAAACCUUAUAAGUAAAUAUGUAAUAUGUAAUUGAUCUCUGCAUUAUUUUCAGGUAUAUUGAAAGACCUCUGAGUUUUCACACAGCAUCUAGUAUAGCAUACUCUAACUCCAUGUUACUGGAGAAUAUUGCUCAUUUAGUC